GAGAUGGAUACAGAGAAGAUUAACAUGGCCCCUGCUCAAGGAUGAUUUUCAAAUUUGUGAAGACUUCCUUAUUUUU
rnacentral:snRNA from 1 species